rnacentral:rRNA from 1 species
UUGUCGUCAGCUCGUGUCGUGAGAUGUUGGUUAAGUCCCGCAACGAGCGCAACCCUUGCUAUUAGUUGCUAACAGGUAGAGCUGAGCACUCUAAUGGGACUGCCGGUGACAAGCCGGAGGAAGGUGGGGAUGACGUCAAAUCAUCAUGCCCUUUAUGACCUGGGCUACACACGUGCUACAAUGGAUGGUACAGAGAGCAGCGAGGCAGCGAUGUGGAGCGAAUCUCAAAAGCCAUUCUCAGUUCGGAUUGGAGUCUGCAACUCGACUCCAUGAAGUCGGAAUCGCUAGUAAUCGCGAAUCAGCAUGUCGCGGUGAAUGCGUUCCCGGGCCUU